GUAUGUAGUUCAGUGGAAAAGUGCUUGCCUAGCAUGUGUGAGGCACUGGGUUCAAUCCUCAGCACCACA
rnacentral:tRNA from 1 species